rnacentral:lncRNA from 1 species
AAACUACAUAGUGACAUUAAUUUUUAUUUCAGGGCCCCGUCCUCUAACAUAUUUGUCAAGAUACUGUUUAAUCCUUUAUAUAACUGCUUGAGAUACUGAUGGAGUCAAAACAACUGAUCAGGAACCUGAUUAAACGCAAGAAAAAAGAGAGUAUAAAAUAUAUGAAAAGCAAGUUGGUGGUACUUCUAGGCCUCUACCAUCCAGGGAUCCUGCUACCUUCAUUAAAAUCAGGGAGCCAAUUUCAAAUGCAACAUCUACUAACAUCUCUGAAAACAAAACUCCACUAAAGUGCUUUUUCAAAAAUGCUGGUGUUUCCCUCAACAGUGGAUUUCUCAAAACCUUGAAAAGAGAGUGUCUUAUAAAUCCUCAGGGAACAACAUUUGCUGGGGGGAGGGAUGGGUCAUUCCUUCUCUCUCUAAGUCUUUGCAUUUUUUCCUGUGCAUUUUACCAAUAAAUUUCUGUCAUUCCAACCAGCUUCAGCUAGUAGCAGUUUUGAAUCUACGUUUUAGUAAGCCAACUAAUUAUCAUUAAAAGUAUAUCUGAG